AACGUGUUUAUCUGCUUGGCCAGUCGUUUUGGGACCUAUUCCGGUUAAAAAAAAAAAAAAUGUGAGGAAAAACGGUUCUGGAGAGCAUGAGGGAGAAAAUACAACCGAACUGCCGGGAAACGUUUAACCGUACAGAAAAAGAGAAUAGCUACUGCUCUUUACAGCAGCCCCUAGACAUCCCACGGCAGCUAAAAGACUUGAAGAAGCCAGCGAGCCAGUCAGAUAAAUAUAAAGAGAGAGUGGGAAAGGAGGAAAAGAGCGAGACGUUAUUUAUUGAUAAGACCUACUCGAUUGAUAUGCAGUGACGUGAUAGCAGUUCUCGCAAGGAAUCCCAAAAAUAUCAAUGAACUCAGAAGUGUAAGGAUGAAUCUUCUCAAAUUGGUGUGCUAAUCUGCUUAGCUGCUACAGGAUAUGUUCAGUGGAAGUUGAUGCUGCCAAAAUAAGGUUAUAAAGAAGAGUUAACCCCAAAAUCCAGAUUUGGUACUUUGGCAAGUCUGAGCACAGUUUGAGAGACUGUUGAGAUCUCUUCUGGAACUCUGGAAAAAAGCAGAUGAGACACAUCUGAGAAUCAGGAAACCUAUGCAAAAACCUCAAUUUGCACUCCAUUUGACAUCAUUGGAGAUCUUGGGGAAACAGUUGAGAUAUUAGAGAGAUGUCCUAUGUGGUUUUUCCAUCAAGUGCUGUGCUAUUUAUCCUCUAUCUGAACAAUAGAGGAAACAUGAACUUCAGGGGACACGAGGAACCUCUGACCGCAGAUGAAGAUUAACCACCGCUGCCUCGGACAUGUUGUGCCCGUCUUCAUUUCUACAAGCUCCGGCUACCAACAGAUCCAUCUAUCACCAGUGAUCAGAUGCUGUUUUUCUAACCAAGCAAUGCAGGGUGACAUGUACAGUAUUUUCCUCAAUAGUCCUAGGUGAGCUUCUGUAUCAUAAAUCACAUCAGACAAAGCCCAGCUUGACCUCUAAAUGGGGGAGAUAUCGUCGUAUUCAGAUUCUCAGUGGUGAGGGUUGCUCAUAACCUCGGGUGUGCUAGUCUUGGUUUGAGCUUUGAACAAUGUUUGAGGAAUCCCACGGUCCAGGUGGGAAAAACAAACGAUCCAUGUCUUGAGCCCCAUGGUGUGCGCUUUCCAGUAGACGGAAGCUCUUGCCAUGUCCUCCUGUAUCAGAAGGACUUGAGGAGAGCACAAAUGAUUCGCGCUUGAAGAUCAAGUCUGGGUGAAGUAUAAAUUGCUAACACCCUCUGCGCUACCCAUGCCUGUUUGUCUGCAAGCCCAGAUCAGAGGAAGCGCAAUCGAUGUCCUCAAACUGCCUCUGGAUCUUCAGUCUCCAGGACUUGACGCAACCCUCCCAAAAGUGUAUCUGCAUACCGUUUAAACGAGUCUCCACCAGGCCUCUGCACGUUUUAUGAAUUCAUGUGCUCUCCAGGUACAUUCAAGCAUCCCUCAAUUCAGCCUACUGCUCCGCAGUCGCCGCUGGUUUCUUUUGUGUUAAUUAGUCACUUGCCAUGCCUUAACAACCCGAGAUCAGAGUCGACGGGGCAGUUUCUCUCUGUUCCACAGCCUUUGAUGAUGGUUUGGUGAGCGGGUCUGGAGCUCAAGAGCUUGUUCGUGCGAUAAAGCGCCGCCCUGAGCUGUUGCUCUUUUUCCCAUCAGCCAGGGAGAACGCGAGCACGGCUGCCCUGCAGUGCCCACAUUGGUUCGUAUUGGCUAUUCUGUUUUUUCCACCAGCAAUCCUCAUUUCCUACAUGAAAGGCACUUACUGUAAUAUUGCCUCAGUAUUUCCUAGAACUGUGGAGGGCGAGUUCCAUUUUUUCAGAAUUCAAGCGUGCCUUUGUGCAGUAUGAGGUAAUGGUGGAUUAAGGAGCGUGAAAGGGAUUUUGGGUUGUGUCAUUGACUAGUUUUUGGCGUGCACAGGUCCCAGUCAGAGGGUCUCUCUAAAUUAUUGAUCAAUGAGACGAGUGGUGAAAACACAGCUUAGCACUAUGCACUCUAUCCCCCCUCCUGCUCUCUUCCAGAUACAUCAAGCCCAAUGUAAAAGCUCCACUGUGCAAAAAAGCCUUCAAGUUCAGUUCAAUUAUUCAGCAUCCCUCCCCGAUUAUGAAUUAUUGAGGUAAAAGCAUGUUCACAUAUAUGGCUGUGCGUCGAGCUCAAGACACAAGUGUCUCAUUGGGAAGAUAAUGAAGAGAGGCUGUAAUUACAAAAGGUGGUUUUAACUUGGAGCAAACGAUUGAAUGCAUUGUGGAGUGAAUGUGAAAUUAAUAUGGACCCCACUAACUUUAAAUUACUGUCAUUAAUUACUCACCCUCAUGUCGUUCCAAGCCCGUAAGAUCUUUGUUCAUCUUCGAAACACAAAUUAAGAUAUUUUUGAUGCAUUCCGUGAGCUCUCUG
ensembl:lncRNA